UCCGGCUUAUCACCGGCAGUUUCCUCAGAGUUCCCAGCAUUACCUGUUGGCAACAGAGGACGAGGGUUGCGCUCGUUGCGGGACUUAACCCAACAUCUCACGACACGAGCUGACGACAGCCAUGCAGCACCUGUGCUCCUCCCACCCGAAGUGAAGGACCCUAUUUCUAAGGUCCACAGAGGGCAUGUCAAAGCCUGGUAAGGUUCUUCGCGUUGCCUCGAAUUAAACCACAUGUUCCACCGCUUGUGCGGGUCCCCGUCAAUUCCUUUGAGUUUUAAUCUUGCGACCGUACUCCCCAGGCGGGAUGCUUAACGCGUUAGCUACGCCACCAAAGGGGAACCCCCUGACGGCUAGCAUCCAUCGUUUACAGCGUGGACUAC
rnacentral:misc_RNA from 1 species